UGAAAACCCCCGGCCCUAACUGGGGAUUGCGCUUGUGACUGCAAGGCUGGAGUGCGGCAGAGGGGGAUGGAAUUCCGCGUGUAGCAGUGAAAUGCGUAGAUAUGCGGAGGAACACCGAUGGCGAAGGCAAUCCCCUGGGCCUGCACUGACGCUCAUGCACGAAAGCGUGGGGAGCAA
rnacentral:rRNA from 1 species